UACGAAGGGGGCUAGCGUUGUUCGGAAUCACUGGGCGUAAAGCGCACGUAGGCGGAUCUUUAAGUCAGGGGUGAAAUCCCGAGGCUCAACCUCGGAACUGCCUUUGAUACUGGGGAUCUCGAGUCCGGGAGAGGUGAGUGGAACUGCGAGUGUAGAGGUGAAAUUCGUAGAUAUUCGCAAGAACACCAGUGGCGAAGGCGGCUCACUGGCCCGGAACUGACGCUGAGGUGCGAAAGCGUGGGGAGCGAACGAG
rnacentral:rRNA from 1 species